UUACGGCCACAUCACAUUGAAACACUGGUUCCCAUGACAAUCAAUAGAGUUAAGCAACAUUGAGCCUAGUCAGUACCUAAAUGGGUGACUGCUUGGGAAUACCAGGUACU